UCGAUUGAGUUUGAUCAUGGCUCAGGACGAACGCUGGCGGCGUGCUUAACACAUGCAAGUCGAACGGUGAUGAGGAGCUUGCUUCUCUGAUCAGUGGCGAACGGGUGAGUAACACGUGAGCAAUCUGCCCUUGACUCUGGGAUAAGCGUUGGAAACGACGUCUAAUACCGGAUACGACUCUUGGAGGCAUCUCUGGGGGUGGAAAGAAUUUUGGUCAAGGAUGAGCUCGCGGCCUAUCAGCUUGUUGGUGAGGUAAUGGCUCACCAAGGCGACGACGGGUAGCCGGCCUGAGAGGGUGACCGGCCACACUGGGACUGAGACACGGCCCAGACUCCUACGGGAGGCAGCAGUGGGGAAUAUUGCACAAUGGGCGAAAGCCUGAUGCAGCAACGCCGCGUGAGGGACGACGGCCUUCGGGUUGUAAACCUCUUUUAGUAGGGAAGAAGCGUAACAGUGACGGUACCUGCAGAAAAAGCACCGGCUAACUACGUGCCAGCAGCCGCGGUAAUACGUAGGGUGCAAGCGUUGUCCGGAAUUAUUGGGCGUAAAGAGCUCGUAGGCGGUUUGUCGCGUCUGCUGUGAAAACCCGAGGCUCAACCUCGGGCCUGCAGUGGGUACGGGCAGA
rnacentral:rRNA from 1 species